rnacentral:rRNA from 1 species
AUGAACGCUGGCGGCGUGCCUAAUACAUGCAAGUCGAGCGAACGGACGAGAAGCUUGCUUCUCUGAUGUUAGCGGCGGACGGGUGAGUAACACGUGGAUAACCUACCUAUAAGACUGGGAUAACUUCGGGAAACCGGAGCUAAUACCGGAUAAUAUUUUGAACCGCAUGGUUCAAAAGUGAAAGUCGGUCUUGCUGUCACUUAUAGAUGGAUCCGCGCUGCAUUAGCUAGUUGGUAAGGUAACGGCUUACCAAGGCAACGAUGCAUAGCCGACCUGAGAGGGUGAUCGGCCACACUGGAACUGAGACACGGUCCAGACUCCUACGGGAGGCAGCAGUAGGGAAUCUUCCGCAAUGGGCGAAAGCCUGACGGAGCAACGCCGCGUGAGUGAUGAAGGUCUUCGGAUCGUAAAACUCUGUUAUUAGGGAAGAACAUAUGUGUAAGUAACUGUGCACAUCUUGACGGUACCUAAUCAGAAAGCCACGGCUAACUACGUG